CCCCCAGAUUGCUGCUCAUCAUGCUGAUGUCUCCCAUUGUGCAGCCACAUAAUCCUUUGUGAGGCGCCUCAUUCUCACAAGGCGCCACACAAAGGAUUAUGUCACAGGAAGUAAUACUGUUCGUGAGCCACACCAUCCUUUGCAGUGCCACCACAUACAGUGCUCCUCUCACUGACCACCAAUGAAAGAGGUGCCCCUUCCGGAAGUGCAGUGGGGGCUGGAUAAAUGACAUUAGGGGGCCGCAUGUCGCCUGGGGACCAUAGUUUGGGGAUCCCUGCCUUAAACCAUUUGGGGACCCUAGAUUGGGCAAUCUCUAUUGAAGAAACUUCUUCAACCACUGAAAAUCAUGACCUGUCCUGCAAAUUAUAAUGUUGGAGAACUGCAUGGAAUGUUGGAAGAUUAAGGGAUUUGCUCCUAGUAAAAUUGAAAGUAAAAAACAAACAUUAAACUAAUAAAACUAGGAGCUGAUUUUAUGUAAAAACCA
rnacentral:lncRNA from 1 species